GCCUAGUGGUUAGAGGGGAGGCAGGUAGCCUAGUGGUUAGAGGGGAGGCAGGUAGCCUAGUGGUUAGAGGGGAGGCAGGUAGCCUAGUGGUUAGAGGGGAGGCAGGUAGCCUAGUGGUUAGAGGGGCGGCAGGUAGCCUAGUGGUUAGAGGGGAGGCAGGUAGCCUAGUGGUUAGAGGGGAGGCAGGUAGCCUAGUGGUUAGAGGGGAGGCAGGUAGCCUAGUGGUUAGAGGGUAGGGGCGGCAGGUAGCCUAGUGGUUAGAGGGGGCAGGUAACCUAGUGGUUAGAGUGUAGGGGCGGCAGGUAGCCUAGUGGUUAGAGGGGAGGCAGGUAGCCUAGUGGUUAGAGUGUAGGGGCGGCAGGUAGUCUAGUGGUUAGAGUGUAGAGGCAGCAGGGUAGCCUAGUGGUUAGAGGGGAGGCAGGUAGCCUAGUAGUUAGAGGGGAGGCAGGUAGCCUAGUGGUUAGAGUGUAGAGGCAGCAGGGUAGCCUAGUGGUUAGAGGGGAGGCAGGUAGCCUAGUGGUUAGAGUGUAGGGGCAGCAGGGUAGCCUAGUGGUUAGAGUGUAGGGGCGGCAGGUAGCCUAGUGGUUAGAGGGGAGGCAGGUAGCCUAGUGGUUAGAGGGGUGGAA
ensembl:lncRNA